rnacentral:miRNA from 2 species
GCCAGAUGUGUUAAAAUAAUGACC